GGGGAUUUAGCUCAGUGGUAGGGCGCUUGCCUAGCAAGCACAAGGCCCUGGGUUCAGUCCCCAGCUCCG
rnacentral:tRNA from 1 species